ACCUUAAGCCCUCAGGGCUGGGGUCCUCCUGCCUGCCUGCCUCUGCCCUUCCUCCCUGCAAGGGGUGGGGCGGGAUGGUGUUGACGGUGAAAUAAAGAUCAGAGGGCAGUUCCGUGCGCGGCUGGGGAAGCGUCAGCCACACCCCGGGACGCGUAAACAUCCUGAGUGGAGGGUCCUGGCGGUUACUGAGCACUUGCUGCGUGUCAGACACAGGGGUUGCCCUCUUGCAGGUUGACCCGGAUUCUGCAGAGGAGGAAGCGGAAGAAGCUCUGGGAGGCGAGGGCACCUUGGCCUGGUAAUGGCAUUCAAACUUGAGUGGCAUUCUGCCCAUGUCCAAGUCCCUUUCCUCCACCUUGCUGCCUCUAGGAUAGGGGGAAUCCUGGAAGACUCCUCGGAGGAGGUGAUGUGCAAACUGAUCCUUGAGGAAGGAUGGAAAGAAACCCACCCCACAGAAUAGAGGGGGAAAGGCAUGGAAGGGCAUUUGUGACCCAGAAACAGCGACCCGGCACACCCAAGCAUGAAGUGACAAUAACCGGUGCAUACUGAGUGCCUACUAUGUGCCAUUCACUCACUGAAUCACCACCACAGCCCUGUGAGCAGGAGCCAUUCACCAACACUCCGUCUUUGCUGAUUUCCUUUCAUCAUGGAGUCACUCAUUCAACAAAUAUUUCUCGAGCCCCUAUUGUGCGGGGAGAGCUGACCUCACACAGCCGCCCAUGGCAAAGACGGAUGCAUUCUGAGUCUCCCAGGCUCUUCCCUGAACCCCAAACCCUUUGACAACAGCCCUCUUCUGAACUCCCCCUGCACCAGGUAGGAUCCCUUGUAUAAUGAGGCCACAUGCCCAGUGAUGAGGAGCUCUGGCUCUGGCAUCCACAGAUGGGCUCUUAGUAGAUGCUUAAUAAACAGCGACUGUGGCCCGGCCAGCGUGGCUCAGUGGCUGAGCAUCGA